rnacentral:rRNA from 1 species
UACGUAGGGUGCGAGCGUUAAUCGGAAUUACUGGGCGUAAAGCGUGCGCAGGCGGUUUUGUAAGCCAGGUGUGAAAGCCCCGGGCUCAACCUGGGAAUGGCAUUUGGGACUGCAAGGCUGGAGUUUGGCAGAGGAGACUGGAAUUCCUGGUGUAGCAGUGAAAUGCGUAGAUAUCAGGAGGAACACCGAUGGCGAAGGCAGGUCUCUGGGCUGAAACUGACGCUCAAGCACGAAAGCGUGGGGAGCAAACAGG